rnacentral:rRNA from 1 species
AGCGAACGCUGGCGGCAGGCCUAACACAUGCAAGUCGAACGAACUCUUCGGAGUUAGUGGCGGACGGGUGAGUAACACGUGGGAACGUGCCUUUAGGUUCGGAAUAACUCAGGGAAACUUGUGCUAAUACCGAAUGUGCCCUUCGGGGGAAAGAUUUAUCGCCUUUAGAGCGGCCCGCGUCUGAUUAGCUAGUUGGUGAGGUAAAGGCUCACCAAGGCGACGAUCAGUAGCUGGUCUGAGAGGAUGAUCAGCCACAUUGGGACUGAGACACGGCCCAAACUCCUACGGGAGGCAGCAGUGGGGAAUCUUGCGCAAUGGGCGAAAGCCUGACGCAGCUAUGCCGCGUGAAUGAUGAAGGUCUUAGGAUUGUAAAAUUCUUUCACCGGGGACGAUAAUGACGGUACCCGGAGAAGAAGCCCCGGCUAACUUCGUG